GCCGGGUCCUUUAACCCACUGGGCCGGGCGUGGGAUCGAACCCGAGCCUCAGCUGUGACCUGAGCUGUGCUCUAGUUGGAUUCUUAGGCCACUGCGCCAUGGGGGGAGCUCUGCAUUCAAGUCCUCCUUGAGUGUCCCUGUGUCCGGCCCCACGAGCCCACCAGACGGGUUCGGAUCUUUCCAUGCCCCUGGCCGGUGUGUCGCCCAGUUCUCUACGGAAACGCUUCUCAUCAUUUGAGGCCUGGAUCAAAGGGCCCUUUUCUGGGACAGUUUCCUUAACCCCGAAGGUCAGAAUCUAUUGCUCCUGCCACUGUACCCACAAAACCCACUGCUUGUGUCCAUGCUCCAGGACAGUGAUGGGUGACACACGUGCUUGGGAGUGAGACAGACUCGAAUUCAAGUCCUGGCUCUGUCACCUACCGGCCACAUGACUUUUGGAAGCUCUGUUUCCUUUACGACAAAAAGUCAAGCCGAAGCCCACCUUACUUUUCCACGCGGUGAGGACCGAGCGAGGUCCUAGCUACAAAAUACAGGAGCAAACCGUGAGCGCAGGCUGGAGGCUUGGCCGUGUUCGCACGUUGCCAUCUAGGCGCUGUCCCCUGGCCCGUGCCCAGUGGGGAGGCAGCUCAGGGCGGGCCUUGCGCCCCCCUGGAAUGUGCCCCUUCCUGCGUCCACACACGGUGGCUCUACGCACUUCAGACACGUGUGCAAAGCACUUCCGUCCUCAGCUUCUCUCUGAACAGUAGUGACAGGGAGUGGCCAGAAGAACCUUCUGGGCUCUAAAGAAAACCUUGCAAGCACAUCCCCUGGGACAGAGCUGGCUGUUAACUGGAAAACAAGUGGUUCUCAGCUGAGCAGCUUUCACCUUUCAUGGACCCCCGGCAACGCAGUGGCAGGGGGGACGGAGUUACCCCUCCUUUGUGGAUCACACUGACUGCCCCAAACUCCUUUGGAGGAAUGUUGGAAGAUGAAUGCGAGACUCCAGCCGACAGCUGUCUGAGAUCUUGCGUAAAAGAGACCCUGGACAUACAGGCUACAGGUGUGCCUGCUUUAGUUUGCGAGCUGGGGAUUUUACGAAAAUCUGCACCUACCAAGCAGACAAACGAAGGGGUGAAAAUUAGCAUAAUUAGCAUCACAAACAGCCUCUUGGCUUGACGAGAAGAUUCACGGCAGGAUCCCUCUAAAUAGCCAGCUCCCCUAGUGCAUUUAAAAUAUGACUCAAUUUAUCAAGAAUUUGAUGUACGUGUGUCAGGAUCGCGUCUGGUACAGGAGGGGAGGCACAUAUGUUUUUUAUAACAAAGACUGAUAACUGUGGGGUUUUAAAAAUAUAAAACAUUUUUUCUUCUCAUGAUCUUUAAUCCCGCAGUUAACACCUCCGCUGCUAGGAGGCGGCUCUGCCAGCUGCAGGUGCGGCUGUGGACGUGGGCAGCCUCGGAGUGCACCCCACGGGCAAGCGGGCAGGCGGGGAGGGUUCUGCUCAGCUCCGGCGCCGGAAAUGGAGAAAAAGCUGGCUGGCAUCUCCUUUGAAUGCACCAUACUAUUCCCAAUUGGGUUAAAGCUUUUCCGACUCCCUAUAAGAUUAAAAAUCACCAAGCAGUGGAGCUCUAAUGUGUGGAGAAGCAAAAAGCAGCUUUAUCCAGAAGAAGGACCCUGUAGAACGAUGCAGGAGCCAGUGCAUACGAGUGAGCUUGUGGUUUACGUCUCCUCUGUAGGAGUAUUUUGGUCUGGUGUGUGUCUGUGUGUGUGUGCUCGUGCCAGCGGAUGCUUGGCAGAGUGGAGGAAAGUGUGCAGUCAGAAUGACAGCCCCCCAGAGCCGCCCAUAUCCUCAUCCCCGGUGCCUGGGCAUGGGGCACGCUACACAGCAAGGCACCAUUAAGGCAGCAGAUGGAAUUAAGUUUGCUGAUCAGCUGACCUUAAAUCAGGAGGUUAACCAGGGGCCCGGGGUCCGCACGCAGCUUCUCACAAGACGGGAGAGGAAGAGAAAUCAGUGCCAGGUGAUGCAAUGUGAGACGGCUGAAGGCCUCGCCAUUUCUGGCUUCAGAGUUGGAAGGAACACGAGCAGCCUCUAGAAGCUGAGACCAGGGUGAGAUGGAUUCCAGAAAGGACACCUCGCCGCAGCCUGCUGCCCCCGAGAAAUGGAGAAGCUCGAGGGCGCCUGCGAUUUCACAGAGGUGGCCUAAGGGGGCAGCUGGGCGGGACAAAUACAAGGAUUGUCUAAAGAUGCCCUUCGUUUCCUGCUUAUUGAAGACACCCCGAUGCUAUUCCCACGUCCUUCUCAUCGUUUUGACUUCUGGCUCCACGGACCCGCAGGGAACUGAACGCUCUUCAACCAGAGCGUCCGUCGCCAUCGCUGUUCCAGCUCCUCCUGGGUCAGCUGCUCCGGGAAAGGCCCGGGAAUUGCUCCCCGCUGCUGAUUUAAGGCCUCGACCAGAGGCCGAAGCCGCCGAAUGUCCUCAGAAAGGCCUCGAGAGGAAGGAGCGAGGAAAACAACCAACCACCAAAGAGCAGCUCUUCCUGCAGCGUGGCCUGCAUCUCCCCUUAUUGUGACAGAUUCCAGAGGGCGUCCAGACACCCCACUGGAGUCCCUGCGGCUGCAAGGCUGUGUGCGGACUGGGAGCCUCGCCAAGGUGCCAGCACUGGUCCUGAACGCGGCCCACGGCCCCUCUGCCCCCCACCUCCCGGAGCUCAGCCUCCUGCUGACGGGGAGACCCUGUGAACGCCUGGCAGGCCAAUGCGAGCUCUGCACACGGAUGGCGGCGGCGUCAAACAUCACGUCUUGCAAGAGAUCAAAGGGAAUGAAGUUGGAGAGAUGCUCAGAUCACAGCGCGCCCUUAGCUGUCGGCGGAGGUGUGCCAGGCUGAAGUUCCUUCUUUGCCAAGGGAGAGCUUGGCCAAGGUCACAAGCGGAGAGGCCUUGACUGACAGCCGUGGGACCCAGAGCGGCUCACUGGGGACCCAGAAGGAGGGACAUCUCUGCCCAAAGGGCAAAUCCCAGCUUCCGCCUGAGGGACAAAGGAGACGAGGUUCUCUUCAGCUUUGAGCGGCCACUUAGUCCCCAGCUGGAGUCACCAACGUGCAGAAGCCCCCCAAACCCUGCCUAGGACAUCCCACCGCGAGACGGAAACAAACAAACAAAGGAGAAACAUCAAUUCAUCUGGGUUGCAUUCAUUUGUUUUAAAUACAAACAAACAAAAGGAGAGAGGAGCCCUGGUUGUUUCUGCACCAACCAUUUCAAAUGCAAGUUACUCUGCUGCUCGUUGCUCGGGGUAUUUGGAUGGCGUUUGUCACCAUAGGACCCACAGGGCUAGUUGCCACAGUUAUUCGGUGAGGUUUUUUCGUUUCCAAAAUUCCCAGUGUUCCUUUAAGGCCCAUUUAGCUGCGGGUUUUGUUUAUUCUCCCGGCAAUCAGCAUUUAAAAUAAGACAAACAAGCAUUUUUCCUGGUCUGUGAAUCCCCGAGGGCCAGCCUCCACCUGCACACCUGAAGCCAAUGUGUCCAAUUGAAUUUCUCUGUAACCCACACCCCUUCGGAGACCAGCCCCUCCUAUGCCGAGCUGGAAUAGAGAACUGAAGCAGGGCGAAUGUAAUUUUAAGAAUUGCUAAUGAUGCUGGAAAUUGGCAAUGCAAUUAGCGUCCUUGGAUUUGGCGCUCCUCUGAAGGCACAAAACUCCCUGUCAUCCUGCAGUGGCGGCAGCGGCCUCCUUGCCUGCCUGGCGGCCGGGCGCUGGCACUGGCAGCCUCUUCGCACCGAAAUAGGAGCAUUUGGUUGGGCUGCCUCUCUUCUCUCUCUCCCAGCCGGUGCCUCUGUCCCCUCUUUUCCUGAUAUGCAGAGGCAGGUGCAUUGUUUACGUCCUCAGCCUUCGGUCCCUGGGGGAGACACUCUAUUUUCUAGGCAAUUGGGGCCCCUGCUUUGGGAACUGCUUUUGCCUCUUGGGUUUCAGUGCCCCAGUUCAGCCAGUGCCCCCUGCCCUGGAACCCCAGGGAUUCUGGCGCAAUCAGUGGGCACCUCACGGCUCAGCAAUUGGGGCGACCCCGACCCCCCACCCCACCCCCGGUUUCCCACCGUAAGAUCUGUUUCCUUCCUCUCUCUCUCUCUCUUCCUUCUCUAUCUUCUCUUUCUCGAAGCUCUCCAUGGCUCAGGCGUAAUACGAAGAGUUAAAAAUAGGGAUUUGAAGGGAGCCGGAGGGAGAGAGGGAGUGCGAAAGCAAAAAACAAAAACAAAAACAACCCACCACCAACAAAAAAACAGCGAGCGAGAGAGAAAAUGAAUUCAUCGUUGGAGUCAAAAUAAACCUUUACUUUUUCAUAAGAAAAUUAUUUUUGCUCUCUGGAAAAAUAACACGGGCCAGGCAUGGAAACCGAGCUGGCUGGUUAGUUCGUUGCCAAGUCCAGAAUUUGAUCUUGAUGACUCUGUUCAAUUUCGCAAAGGUUUCGACUCUGGGGAUCCUCUUUCAGAGACAGAGGCCCGAAUCAGAAGCUCGCAGAGGGGAGCUGUUCUUCCAGAUUCCAGAUGUGCCUGCGAGACAACACGUUCUGGGCAAAUUGAUUUCACCCUUGGGAAACUGGAGAUUUUUUUCAAAGUUAUGUCUGCAAAGCCAGCUAAUGCAAUUCCCCAUUAGUGCAUUAAAGUGCCCUUAUUAAUUCCAACAUAACGGCAACAAAAUAAGCUGUUAAAUUUAAAAUAUAAUACAUAUAUAAUGAGGAGAAUGUGUGAAAGCCUUAUUCAAAUGAAAAUCCAGGAGUGUUUGAACUACCGAGGUAUCUUUUGUAUUGAAUUAUGAGCAUAUGUAAUAGAUUUAAUUAUUAAUUUCCCCAUUGUUCUAUGCACACAGACAGGGUUCAAGGCACAGUCAUUCUCUGGCUUUCAUAGAUCUAAUUUGUAUAAUUAUUGCCUGAAUAAAGAAUUGCUCCAAUUCCUGGCUCUCUUUCUUCCGCCGCCCCCCCCACCCCCCAUGCACACGAUGUCAGCGCCGCAUUCCGCGAGGGGACACCUGGCCCUUGUUCAAAGUCAGCUGAUGGUUUGGAUGACGGCCGGCGCUGCUGCCAGUGACGUAUCCCUUUCAAGUCUCUUUGUCUAAGUGAAUUAUCGUGCAUCCUUUUAAUUUUAUUGAACAAAUUACAUUUGUCAAGGUCUAUCUUUGUAAAUAAAUGAUAACUAGAGACACAUGGAUGUGUAGUUCUGCUGUUCAAGGGCUCUUGUUCCAUUUCUGGAAGCCAGAUGAACAUGGAACAAAGGAGAAACUUUCCUCUAAAAGCAAUUAUCUUUUUGCAUUCCCAUCAGUAUAAUUAUAUUGCAGGGAAUUUUAAGAAGCUGUAGAAGUAGAAUUGAAUGCUUAAAACUGUGUUUGCUGAAUUGCCAUGCAAAAGUUGAGCAGGCUAUAUUGCAUCACAGAAAACAGCCUAACUCUCUCCUGGCCACGUUUUAGAGGGUGCCCCAAGGAUGGGGACCGUGCGGAGAAGGGUGGUGGGGAGGUGGGCCAGAUCUUGGGGUUCGUGUGCUUCUUGAGAGGAACAUUUAAUGACAUUUCUGAGACCUGAGGGCUCUGUGCAAGGUGACUGGGGGUGUAGACAAUGAAACCACCCAUUUCCAGUCUAUCUGGAGUUGCUGAUUUGCAGAUUGCUCUCUGCCUGGAGCAGAAACCUGCACACUUGUGCAGUAAUCCAUUAACGGUGGCAGAGAAGGAGGGAUUCUUGGUGAAAUCGUGGGAGAUGCUAUUACAGUGCCUCAAAGCUGUGAGUGAUGGGUUUGGAGAGAUAGUGAACGUGGCUUGUGUGGCUGCUGUGUCAAUACCACGUGUCAGCCAGGAGCACGUCUUCAUCCCCGGCUCCCCGACGCCUUGGUGAGGUCGACUGCAUGUCUCAUGUCGGCUCACAGGCUGUCAGUAGUCACAUCCCCCUUCCCAGGGUUUCCCAGAGCACCUGACAGACAUUCCGGGAGAAGCCCCCAGGAGAAGUGACAGCAGAGGAGGCCAGAAUCAUGGCUUGGCUUAAUACUGGCUGUAGAUUUUGGCUUCCUGACAAUUGAAUGGGUAACAUCCUAGAGAUCCUGAAAACAAGAAACCCAGAAGAAGGCAUGACCUUGUACCUUCAAAGACAGGUGGGUAGAGGGUGGACUAAAAGCCAGCGGAGAAGAUUCCCAGUUGACAAAGAUUCUAUGGAGCCGUGGAAGGGGCACGGUCCAGGGCUCAGAGUCAGGGGCAGCCACCGGGCCCCCUGUGCUGUCAGAGAGUCUGGACCUGAUGACUGAACAGCUUAUGUAGAGACUCUGGGUGCAAGACCGUGAAUCCCAUUACAGGAGGCAUCCAACUCCAUGGGAAAGAGGUGGAGGGACGAGCCAGCCACUGGGCUUGAGCUCCAGAGCUUUAUCAAGAUGCUGAAAGUAAGAUGGUUUAUUUGCUUAACAACAUGAGUCUAGUGUCUUCUGCUGGGGCUGGAGUUGGUAAAGCGCUGAAAUCCAAGAGAUCCUUGAAAGUAACAUGCUCAGAAAGUGGUAGGUCUGCAUGCGAGUUCCCACUGUGGUGCAGUGGGUUUAGAAGCUGACCGCAGCAGCUCCGGUCGCUGAGGAGGUGUGGGUUCGAUCCUAGCCCAGGGAAGUGGGUUAAAGGAUCCAGUGUUGCUGCAUCUCCAGCUCAGAUUCAGUCCCUGGCCUGGGACCUUCCAUACGCCAUAAAAACAAAAA